rnacentral:rRNA from 1 species
GGGUUGUGAGGUUAAGCGACUAAGCGUACACGGUGGAUGCCCUGGCAGUCAGAGGCGAUGAAGGACGUGCUAAUCUGCGAUAAGCGUCGGUGAGGUGAUAUGAACCGUUAUAACCGGCGAUUUCCGAAUGGGGAAACCCAGUGUGUUUCGACACACUAUCAUUAACUGAAUCCAUAGGUUAAUGAGGCGAACCGGGGGAACUGAAACAUCUAAGUACCCCGAGGAAAAGAAAUCAACCGAGAUUCCCCCAGUAGCGGCGAGCGAACGGGGAGCAGCCCAGAGCCUGAAUCAGUGUGUGUGUUAGUGGAAGCGUCUGGAAAGGCGCGCGAUACAGGGUGACAGCCCCGUACACAAAAAUGCACAUGCUGUGAGCUCGAUGAGUAGGGCGGGACACGUGGUAUCCUGUCUGAAUAUGGGGGGACCAUCCUCCAAGGCUAAAUACUCCUGACUGACCGAUAGUGAACCAGUACCGUGAGGGAAAGGCGAAAAGAACCCCGGCGAGGGGAGUGAAAAAGAACCUGAAACCGUGUACGUACAAGCAGUGGGAGCCUCUUUAUGGGGUGACUGCGUACCUUUUGUAUAAUGGGUCAGCGACUUAUAUUCUGUAGCAAGGUUAACCGAAUAGGGGAGCCGAAGGGAAACCGAGUCUUAACUGGGCGUUAAGUUGCAGGGUAUAGACCCGAAACCCGGUGAUCUAGCCAUGGGCAGGUUGAAGGUUGGGUAACACUAACUGGAGGACCGAACCGACUAAUGUUGAAAAAUUAGCGGAUGACUUGUGGCUGGGGGUGAAAGGCCAAUCAAACCGGGAGAUAGCUGGUUCUCCCCGAAAGCUAUUUAGGUAGCGCCUCGUGAAUUCAUCUCCGGGGGUAGAGCACUGUUUCGGCAAGGGGGUCAUCCCGACUUACCAACCCGAUGCAAACUGCGAAUACCGGAGAAUGUUAUCACGGGAGACACACGGCGGGUGCUAACGUCCGUCGUGAAGAGGGAAACAACCCAGACCGCCAGCUAAGGUCCCAAAGUCAUGGUUAAGUGGGAAACGAUGUGGGAAGGCCCAGACAGCCAGGAUGUUGGCUUAGAAGCAGCCAUCAUUUAAAGAAAGCGUAAUAGCUCACUGGUCGAGUCGGCCUGCGCGGAAGAUGUAACGGGGCUAAACCAUGCACCGAAGCUGCGGCAGCGACACUAAGUGUUGUUGGGUAGGGGAGCGUUCUGUAAGCCUGUGAAGGUGUACUGUGAGGUAUGCUGGAGGUAUCAGAAGUGCGAAUGCUGACAUAAGUAACGAUAAAGCGGGUGAAAAGCCCGCUCGCCGGAAGACCAAGGGUUCCUGUCCAACGUUAAUCGGGGCAGGGUGAGUCGACCCCUAAGGCGAGGCCGAAAGGCGUAGUCGAUGGGAAACAGGUUAAUAUUCCUGUACUUGGUGUUACUGCGAAGGGGGGACGGAGAAGGCUAUGUUGGCCGGGCGACGGUUGUCCCGGUUUAAGCGUGUAGGCUGGUUUUCCAGGCAAAUCCGGAAAAUCAAGGCUGAGGCGUGAUGACGAGGCACUACGGUGCUGAAGCAACAAAUGCCCUGCUUCCAGGAAAAGCCUCUAAGCAUCAGGUAACAUCAAAUCGUACCCCAAACCGACACAGGUGGUCAGGUAGAGAAUACCAAGGCGCUUGAGAGAACUCGGGUGAAGGAACUAGGCAAAAUGGUGCCGUAACUUCGGGAGAAGGCACGCUGAUAUGUAGGUGAAGCGACUUGCUCGUGGAGCUGAAAUCAGUCGAAGAUACCAGCUGGCUGCAACUGUUUAUUAAAAACACAGCACUGUGCAAACACGAAAGUGGACGUAUACGGUGUGACGCCUGCCCGGUGCCGGAAGGUUAAUUGAUGGGGUUAGCGGUAACGCGAAGCUCUUGAUCGAAGCCCCGGUAAACGGCGGCCGUAACUAUAACGGUCCUAAGGUAGCGAAAUUCCUUGUCGGGUAAGUUCCGACCUGCACGAAUGGCGUAAUGAUGGCCAGGCUGUCUCCACCCGAGACUCAGUGAAAUUGAACUCGCUGUGAAGAUGCAGUGUGCCCGCGGCAAGACGGAAAGACCCCGUGAACCUUUACUAUAGCUUGACACUGAACAUUGAGCCUUGAUGUGUAGGAUAGGUGGGAGGCUUUGAAGUGUGGACGCCAGUCUGCAUGGAGCCGACCUUGAAAUACCACCCUUUAAUGUUUGAUGUUCUAACGUUGGCCCCUGAUCGGGGUUGCGGACAGUGUCUGGUGGGUAGUUUGACUGGGGCGGUCUCCUCCUAAAGAGUAACGGAGGAGCACGAAGGUUGGCUAAUCCUGGUCGGACAUCAGGAGGUUAGUGCAAUGGCAUAAGCCAGCUUGACUGCGAGCGUGACGGCGCGAGCAGGUGCGAAAGCAGGUCAUAGUGAUCCGGUGGUUCUGAAUGGAAGGGCCAUCGCUCAACGGAUAAAAGGUACUCCGGGGAUAACAGGCUGAUACCGCCCAAGAGUUCAUAUCGACGGCGGUGUUUGGCACCUCGAUGUCGGCUCAUCACAUCCUGGGGCUGAAGUAGGUCCCAAGGGUAUGGCUGUUCGCCAUUUAAAGUGGUACGCGAGCUGGGUUUAGAACGUCGUGAGACAGUUCGGUCCCUAUCUGCCGUGGGCGCUGGAGAACUGAGGGGGGCUGCUCCUAGUACGAGAGGACCGGAGUGGACGCAUCACUGGUGUUCGGGUUGUCAUGCCAAUGGCACUGCCCGGUAGCUAAAUGCGGAAGAGAUAAGUGCUGAAAGCAUCUAAGCACGAAACUUGCCCCGAGAUGAGUUCUCCCUGACUCCUUGAGAGUCCUGAAGGAACGUUGAAGACGACGACGUUGAUAGGCCGGGUGUGUAAGCGCAGCGAUGCGUUGAGCUAACCGGUACUAAUGAACCGUGAGGCUUAACCUUACAACGCCGAAG